rnacentral:rRNA from 1 species
UACGUAGGGGGCAAGCGGUUGUCCGGAAUCAUUGGGCGUAAAGCGCGUGUAGGCGGCUCGGUAAGUCCGCUCUGAAAGCCCGGGGCUCAACCCCGGGAGGCGGGUGGAUACUGCUGAGCUCGAGUCCGGAAGAGGAGUGUGGAAUUCCUGGUGUAGCGGUGAAAUGCGCAGAUAUCAGGAAGAACACCAAUGGCGAAAGCAGCUCUCUGGGACGGUACUGACGCUGAGACGCGAAAGCGUGGGGAGCGAACAGG